ensembl:lncRNA
CUGAUGUGCUCCAGUAGCUCGGCGUAAUAUUCUCACCAAAGGAUCCUCUGCAGUGAAUGGGUGUUGUCAGAAUGAGAGUCAGAUGUCAGAAUAAGCCCAGAUGUGCUGUUGAUUCCCGCAGGAGGAUGAUGGAAGAGAGAGGCUGAGACACUUUGAUUCCCUUCUUGCAUAUUCAUGUAUGGAAUUCAGACACUUCAAUUAUUCAGCUGGAUGGAUUUUCUUAAGGAACUGUCCCAUGAACUGUCCACCUUGAACUGAAGGAAACGCUUGAGCUACUUUGCUGUAGAGCCACAAUCUGUGCAGCGAGGAGGCAGAAUCACACAGCGCACUGAGCCCAGCCUUUCACAAACAGCUGCUUGUAGUGCCACUAGAUGUAUUUUGGUGGGAAGGGGGUGGAAGCUGCUCCCUGCACUUCUCAAUGUGGCAGAAAGUGUUACCAGUUCAACAUUAAU